UACGGAGGGGGCUAGCGUUGUUCGGAAUUACUGGGCGUAAAGCGCACGUAGGCGGACCAGCAAGUUAGGGGUGAAAUCCCGGGGCUCAACCCCGGAACUGCCUUUAAAACUGUUGGUCUGGAGGUCGAGAGAGGUGAGUGGAAUUCCGAGUGUAGAGGUGAAAUUCGUAGAUAUUAGGAAGAACACCAGUGGCGAAGGCGGCUCACUGGCCCGGUACUGACGCUGAGGCGCGAAAGCCAGGGGAGCAAACGGG
rnacentral:rRNA from 1 species